rnacentral:rRNA from 1 species
GACGAACGCUGGCGGCGUGCUUAACACAUGCAAGUCGAACGGAAAGGCCCUGCUUUUGUGGGGUGCUCGAGUGGCGAACGGGUGAGUAACACGUGAGUAACCUGCCCUUGACUUUGGGAUAACUUCAGGAAACUGGGGCUAAUACCGGAUAGGAGCUCCUGCUGCAUGGUGGGGGUUGGAAAGUUUCGGCGGUUGGGGAUGGACUCGCGGCUUAUCAGCUUGUUGGUGGGGUAGUUGCUUACCAAGGCUUUGACGGGUAGCCGGCCUGAGAGGGUGACCGGCGACAUUGGGACUGAGAGACGGACCAGAAUCCUACGGGACGCAGCAGUGGGGAAUAUUGCGCAAUGGGCGGAAGCCUGAGGCAGCAACGCCGCGUGCGGGAUGACGGCCUUCGGGUUGUAAACCGCUUUCGCCUGUGACGAAGCGUGAGUGACGGUAAUGGGUAAAGAAGCACCGGCUAACUACGUG